rnacentral:misc_RNA from 1 species
GAUGAAGAACGUAGUGAAAUGCGAUAAGUAAUGUGAAUUGCAGAAUUCAGUGAAUCAUCGAAUCUUUGAACGCAUCUUGCGCUCCUUGGUAUUCCUUGGAGCAUGCCUGUUUGAGUAUCAUGAGCAAACCUCAAAGUCAAUUCCUUUUGUUAAUUCAAUUGGUUUUGCUUUGGACUUGGAGGUCUUGCAGAUUUCACAGUCUGCUCCUCUUAAAUGCAUUAGCUGGAUCUCAGUAAUUAUGCUUGGUUCCACUCGGCGUGAUAAGUAUCACUCGCUGAGGACACUGUUAAAAAGGUGGCCAGGAAAAUACUGAUUGAACCGCUUCUAACGGUCUAUUAAGUUAGACAAUUACCCUUAAGUUUGAUCUCAAAUCAGGUAGGACUACCCGCUGAACUUAAGCAUAUCAAUAAGCGGAGGA